rnacentral:rRNA from 1 species
GACGAACGCUGGCGGCGUGCUUAACACAUGCAAGUCGAACGGAAAGGCCCUGCUUUUGUGGGGUGCUCGAGUGGCGAACGGGUGAGUAACACGUGAGUAACCUGCCCUUGACUUUGGGAUAACUUCAGGAAACUGGGGCUAAUACCGGAUAGGAGCUCCUGCUGCAUGGUGGGGGUUGGAAAGUUUCGGCGGUUGGGGAUGGACUCGCGGCUUAUCAGCUUGUUGGUGGGGUAGUGGCUUACCAAGGCUUUGACGGGUAGCCGGCCGGAGAGGGUGACCGGCGACAUUGGGACUGAGGUACGGCCCAGACUCCUACGGGAGGCAGCAGUGGGGAAUAUUGCACAAUGGGCGGAAGCCUGAUGCAGCAACGCCGCGUGCGGGAUGACGGCCUUCGGGUUGUAAACCGCUUUCGCCUGUGACGAAGCGUGAGUGACGGUAAUGGGUAAAGAAGCACCGGCUAACUACGUG